GGUUAUAGCUCAGUGGUAGAGUGCUUGCCUAGCAGGUGUGAGGCACUGGGUUCAAUUCUCAGCACCA
rnacentral:tRNA from 1 species